UACGGAGGGGGCUAGCGUUGUUCGGAAUUACUGGGCGUAAAGCGCGCGUAGGCGGCUUUGUAAGUUAGAGGUGAAAGCCCGGGGCUCAACCCCGGAAUUGCCUUUAAGACUGCAUCGCUAGAAUUGUGGAGAGGUAAGUGGAAUUCCGAGUGUAGAGGUGAAAUUCGUAGAUAUUCGGAAGAACACCAGUGGCGAAGGCGACUUACUGGACACAUAUUGACGCUGAGGUGCGAAAGCGUGGGGAGCAAACAGG
rnacentral:rRNA from 1 species